GGUCUGAGAGGAUGAUCCGCCACACUGGGACUGAGAGACGGCCCAGACUCCUACGGGAGGCAGCAGUGGGGAAUUUUGGACAAUGGGCGCAAGCCUGAUCCAGCCAUGCCGCGUGUCUGAAGAAGGCCUUCGGGUUGUAAAGGACUUUUGUCAGGGAGGAAAUCCCUAGCGCUAAUAUCGCUGGGGGAUGACAGUACCUGAAGAAUAAGCACCGGCUAACUACGUGCCAGCAGCCGCGGUAAUACGUAGGGUGCAAGCGUUAAUCGGAAUUACUGGGCGUAAAGCGUGCGCAGGCGGUUGUGUAAGUCUGAUGUGAAAGCCCCGGGCUCAACCUGGGAACUGCAUUGGAGACUG
rnacentral:rRNA from 1 species